GAGUUUGAUCAUGGCUCAGAACGAACGUUAGCGGCGCGCCUAACACAUGCAAGUCGCACGAGUAAGGGCUUCGGCCCCGGUAAAGUGGCGCACGGGUGAGUAACACGUAGGCAAUCUACCCUUGAGUGGUGGAUAACCCUCCGAAAGGAGGGCUAAUACAGCAUGAGACCACGGCAUCCACGGAUGCUGCGGUCAAAGUGGGCCUCUCCAUGGAAGCUCACGCUUGAGGACGAGCCUGCGGCCCAUCAGCUUGUUGGUAGGGUAAUGGCCUACCAAGGCUAAGACGGGUAGCUGGUCUGAGAGGAUGAACAGCCACACUGGAACUGAGACACGGUCCAGACUCCUACGGGAGGCAGCAGUGGGGAAUCUUGCACAAUGGGCGAAAGCCUGAUGCAGCGACGCCGCGUGAGCGAUGAAGGCCUUCGGGUUGUAAAGCUCUGUGGGGAGGGACGAAUAUGAGUUGGCCAAUAUCCAACUUGAUGACGGUACCUCCUUAGCAAGCACCGGCUAACUCUGUGCCAGCAGCCGCGGUAAGACAGAGGGUGCAAACGUUGUUCGGAAUUACUGGGCGUAAAGCGCGUGUAGGCGGCUACGUAAGUCGGACGUGAAAUCCCAUGGCUCAACUGUGGAAGUGCGCUCGAAACUGUGUAGC
rnacentral:rRNA from 1 species